rnacentral:rRNA from 1 species
AUUGAACGCUGGCGGCAUGCCUAACACAUGCAAGUCGAACGGCAGCACGGGGGCAACCCUGGCGGCGAGUGGCGAACGGGUGAGUAAUGUAUCGGAAUGUAUCCUGUAAUGGGGGAUAACCAGUCGAAAGAUUGGGUAAUACCGCAUACGCACGAGAGUGGAAAGUAGGGGAUCGCAAGACCUUACGUUAUAGGAGCGGCCGAUAUCUGAUUAGCUAGUUGGUGGGGUAAAGGCCUACCAAGGCGACGAUCAGUAGCUGGUCUGAGAGGACGACCAGCCACACUGGGACUGAGACACGGCCCAGACUCCUACGGGAGGCAGCAGUGGGGAAUUUUGGACAAUGGGCGAAAGCCUGAUCCAGCCAUGCCGCGUGCAGGAUGAAGGCCUUCGGGUUGUAAACUGCUUUUGUACGGAACGAAACGGCGAGCUCUAAUACAGUUUGCUAAUGACGGUACCGUAAGAAUAAGCACCGGCUAACUACGUG